rnacentral:rRNA from 1 species
AACCUUCCCACAAGAAGAUCCUGGCUACCACGAACGCUGGCGGAGUGCUUAACACAUGCAAGUCGAACGAUGAAGCUGGAGCUUGCUCCGGUGGAUUAGUGGCGAACGGGUGAGUAACACGUGAGAAAUCUGCCCUUGACUCUGGGAUAACUGCGGGAAACUGUAGCUAAUACCGGAUACUUUCCCUGGUGGGCAUCCACUGGGGAAGAAAGAAUUUCGGUCAAGGAUGAUCUCGCGGCCUAUCAGCUAGUUGGUGAGGUAACGGCUCACCAAGGCGACGACGGGUAGCCGGCCUGAGAGGGUGACCGGCCACACUGGGACUGAGACACGGCCCAGACUCCUACGGGAGGCAGCAGUGGGGAAUAUUGCACAAUGGGCGCAAGCCUGAUGCAGCAACGCCGCGUGAGGGAUGACGGCCUUCGGGUUGUAAACCUCUUUUAGCAGGGAAGAAGCGAAAGUGACGGUCCCUGCAGAAAAAGCACCGGCUAACUACGUGCCAGCAGCCGCGGUAAUACGUAGGGUGCAAGCGUUGUCCGGAAUUAUUGGGCGUAAAGAGCUCGUAGGCGGUUUGUCACGUCUGCUGUGAAAAUCCAAGGCUNCACCUUGGACUUGCAGUGGGUACGGGCAGGCUAGAGUGCGG